UACGUAGGGGGCAAGCGUUGUCCGGAUUUAUUGGGCGUAAAGAGCGUGUAGGCGGCCAUACAGGUCCGUUGUGAAAACUCGAGGCUUAACCUCGAGACGUCGAUGGAAACCGUAUGGCUAGAGUCCGGAAGAGGAGAGUGGAAUUCCUGGUGUAGCGGUGAAAUGCGCAGAUAUCAGGAAGAACACCAAUUGCGAAGGCAGCACUCUGGGACGUGACUGACGCUGAGACGCGAAAGCGUGGGGAGCAAACAGG
rnacentral:rRNA from 1 species